CGCCAGACUCCUACGGGAGGCAGCAGUGGGGAAUAUUGCACAAUGGGGGAAACCCUGAUGCAGCAACGCCGCGUGAGUGAGGAAGUAUUUCGGUAUGUAAAGCUCUAUCAGCAGGGAAUAGAAAAGAAGGUACCUGAAAAAGAAGCCCCGGCUAACUACGUGCCAGCAGCCGCGGUAAUACGUAGGGGCAAGCGUUAUCCCGAUUUACUGGGUGUAAAGGGGGCGCAGACGGCAGCGCAAGCCAGGAGUGAAAGCCCGGGGCCCAACCCCGGGACUGCUCUUGGAACUGCGCGGCUGGAGUGCAGGAGGGGCAGGCGGAAUUCCUGGUGUAGCGGUGAAAUGCGUAGAUAUCAGGAGGAACACCGGUGGCGAAGGCGGCUUACUGGACUGUAACUGACGUUGAGGCUCGAAAGCGUGGGGAGCAAACAGGAUUAGAUACCCGAGUA
rnacentral:rRNA from 1 species